UCAUCUGUUUGCUUUCUGGGUUGUCUAGCGUCUUGCAGCUAAUGGAAAAAAUAAGUUUCAAGCUGGACUUUGAUGGAAGAAAUGAAUCCAUUGUCUUGCCAAGACUGGCCAUGGCUCUUGUGUGUCCAGACCCUGUGGAUUUCCAGGGGCUCGCUUUUGGGGUUACAUCGUACAGCUCAAACAGAUACCCAGAGCUAAAUAUCCGUCAAGCUCCCUUCACAACUGCCGUAGCGUCAAUAUUUUUGCCUCAACUACUGAAGGAUUACUUGGAGGUCCAGUCUUAUGACCCAGAAGACCACACAGAAAUCCAGUUUAGUUUCUUCGGCGAAACGUCGCUGUUUCAGGACAGCAGCUGCGAGGAUCAGUUCCUGAACAGCUACGUUGUGGGCGCCAGCCUCAAGAACGUGUCCAUCCAAAACCUCACGGUGCCCGUCAAUAUUGUGCUACAACACACAACACAAAACAAAGUAAGUGUCCUUUCGCCUCGGUGAGGUUUUUUUCCCCCCAGAACCACCUUUCCCAUCUCCAACUUCCUUAGCCUUAAUUAGUCAGCCCUGAAGUGCCCUGCUCAGCAUGACUUCUAUGCAAUGAAUUCUUUCUUGGGAAAUUUC
rnacentral:lncRNA from 1 species